GACGAACGCUGGCGGCGUGCCUAACACAUGCAAGUCGAACGGAACUGUUUUGAAAGAUUUCUUCGGAAUGAAUUUGAUUUAGUUUAGUGGCGAACGGGUGAGUAACGCGUGAGUAACCUGCCUUCAAGAGGGGGAUAACAUUCUGAAAAGAAUGCUAAUACCGCAUGACAUAUCGGAACCACAUGGUUUUGAUAUCAAAGAUUUUAUCGCUUGAAGAUGGACUCGCGUCCGAUUAGUUAGUUGGUGAGGUAACGGCUCACCAAGACCGCGAUCGGUAGCCGGACUGAGAGGUUGAACGGCCACAUUGGGACUGAGACACGGCCCAGACUCCUACGGGAGGCAGCAGUGGGGGAUAUUGCGCAAUGGGGGCAACCCUGACGCAGCAACGCCGCGUGAAGGAUGAAGGUUUUCGGAUUGUAAACUUCUUUUAUUAAGGACGAAA
rnacentral:rRNA from 1 species